AUAACAAGUCACACGAAUUUGUGAAUCACGUAAUGAAAAGAUAUUCUUCAGCGCAAACUGAACUUACCGAAAGCUCAGUGAGAGAAAUGGGUGAGGGGUUAUUUUGUGUAGAAAGUGCCGAGGCCAAGGAUUGUUACUAUGUGGUGAAUUUUGCAAAGCCUAAUUGCACAUGUGAAGACUUCCAAAGGUGGAAAUAUCCAUGCAAACAUUUCUGCGCAAUUUUCAUUUAUUACCCUGGCUGGGACAUUCAUAAGUUGAAUGACAGUUACAAGAACAGCCCUUUCAUUUGUCUCGAUGAGACCUUUGGGUUUGGCUCAAGCAGCAGUUGGUCUGAACCUGCCAGCCCUGUAUCACAAAGUUCAGAGGAUACCAGCAGUGAGGGGGCAGUAAACCAAGGCAGUGACAAUCCCAGAAACUCAACUUCAUCAGAGGAGCAAGAUGCACGGGAAUUAGCAAGGCAGGUCAUAAACCUGACCUACAUGCUUUGCUUGAACAGCUGCAAUCUGAAGUAUCCUACCUCUCUGCUGAAGCAAAUUUAGCUCCAAGAAUAUGUACUCUGUGUUCUUGUGCCACAUUUAAAAGCAGCAUUCAGAUCAGCUUUUUUGGUUCUUUUGUAUUGCAUGGGAGCAAUGGACAAGCCACAAGCAAACAUCAAGGUAUGUGACACAGCUGUCUUCUCCCAGCAGCGAGAGGCAAUGUUGGGAUCAUUCCUCUGAACCUCCUUCUCUCGUGGAAAGUGUAAUUGACACACAAUGCAUACCCAGGUGCGGUAGUCCCUACCGUUACAAAUAAGGUUGCUGUGGCUCAUUACCUGGUUGUGCAUCAUCAAGUCAAGACCGUAUCAGUCCAAGGGAAAAUAUAAUGAACACAAAUGAGUGAGUGCUCAGCUAAAGUUUCAGACAAAUGGCUGAAUUUUCCAGGUUUUCUGUACAGUGAACAAAUUACCACAUGGAGACAAAAGUUGUUGCAGAAGUGGCCUUGGUGUUCAAGUAGGACAGAAAGGCAAAUUUCAUGAUUUUUUUUAAAAUCAUGAUGCUAUUACAUCAUCCUCAGAAUAAGAUGUAGCUACUGCACACAUUCUCAAAGUCUGUUAAUGUUUAUAGUGCUGUAGGUCAGGUUUAUAACCAGCCUAGCUAACUGCCUUUCAUCUUGUUCCUCUGAUGAAGUUGAGUUUCUGGGAUUGGCACUGCCUUGGUUUACUGCCUCCUCACUGCUGGUAUCCUCUGAACUUUGUAAUACAGGACUGGCAGAUUCAGACCAACUGCUGCUUGAGCCAAACCCAAAGGUCCCAUCGAGACAAAUGAAAGGGCUGUUCUUGUAACUGUCAUUCAACUUAUGAAAGUCCCAGCCAGGGUAAUAAAUGAAAAUUGCGCAGAAAUGUUCGCAUGGAAGUAUUCACAUGUGCAAUUAGGCUUUGCAGAAUUCACCACAUAGUAACAAUCCUUGGCCUCAGCACGUUCUACACAAAAUAACCCCUCACCCAUUUAUUUCACUGAGCUUUCGGUAAGUCCAGUGUGCGCUGAAGAAUAUAUUUUCAUUACGUGAUUCACAAAUUCGUGUGACUUGUUAUGCAAGAAGUGAGGAAUCUCUCUGCUGUAAGAUUUCACAGCUGAAUUCUUCAGACAAUAUUUUUUAAACAGGCUAGGGAGGAAAUCAUUUAUUAAAACUUUAACAACACCUGUCAAUGUUAUAUCUGCUGAAUGUCUAAGAAAAAAUGUUUCACUCUUUUAUUUAGUGAUUCAACACCAUUAGUAGUAGUUAUAUUGGCGAAGAAAUUCUCCUUGUCCUCAUAAGCCUUCACCCACCUUUCAGACACUGAAAGCCAUUGCUUAUUAAAAUAAUCAAGUGCACCAGAAUUUCUAGUUAAUAAUUCAUGAGAUUGAAGGUUUUGUUUUGCAGUUAAGAAUUGUUCUUCAGAUGGUGACUACAAUUUCUUCCCACAGCUUCAGAAUUUGCUCACUAUCUCCCGGUACAUCUAAAUUGUUCUUUUUGCUAAGCCACCAUUGCCAGGCUUGCUUUCGAUGAAAUAAACAAAGAUAAACCCUUGACAUUGGAAAUGUUCCUAUGAUUGCCCAUAUCUCAGGCUCAGAGAAAUCUGUAACCCAUGAAAUUGGAUUCCAAUCUGGGUUCCGUGCCUUGAAAAUUUCUAGAGCCUCUUUAAUUGAUGCAGUGUUUUCUACUUGAAUGAAGAAUAUCCCACCUACUAAAUAGCAUACAUUAGCUCUCACUACCAAGAAAAAUAAUGGAAUGUCAUACUUCGUUGUCUUGUAUGUUGCAUCAAGCAAACAUACCCUAAACCCUACCAUACCUUUUCAAAAGUUCCCUUUGCCACUUGUGCAUAAGCAAUGGCUGCACUUUUCCAUUGUCAUCUGUAAACGGUCUGAAAAAAAUCUCUCACCCUUAGAUUCCUUUUCCCACCCAUUAAAUUGAUUCCUUAAUGCAUCUUGGUCAAUAAUAGUUUUCUUCAAAUCAAACAGAGCCCGAUACAUAUGGCUAUAAAUUGUACUAUCUGUUGGGUGAAACAUUAUGUUCAUCCGAUUUGGUCUGUUCCAGCAACACUAAAGUGCACAAACCCCGAAAGUGUUAACGAACAAACUUUAGUUAAGUUUUAUUUGCAGCAAGUGUGUUUCUGUAUUGCAUCCUGGUCACUCACUGAUUUCCUUACAACAAAUAAGCUCUGAGCACAUGGGUGUAAGUUGUUUAAUCUGUGUGGUAAAACAAUAUUUGAGAAAAGGGUUUUCAUUUAUAAAACAGUAUCAACUCAAAAAACUUAUGUACAUUGCUCAUAAUUUGUUGUGUAGUCAGAAUACACAUGUUGGAAUGAAUAAAUUCAAUUAUGUAAUUAUCAUUUCCUUUGGCAAUGAAUCAUAUGAGCUAAAUGUGACAUUAGAGGGAAUAGCAAUUUUCAAAUCAUAUUUUUCAGUGCAUACUCUAAUGUGUGCAUUUUCCUUUAAGCUUACACGCAAUCUGUUGUUCAAAAUGACUAGUUGUUAGUGUUUUUAAAAUGUUUAUACUAUUGUACAUGUCAACGUAUUUUAUGUUUUGCAUUUAUGUAAGCACAUAUGGACUAUGUAUGUGAAUUGGACAUAUGAAGAAAAAUUAUCCUUUUUGAGUGAAAACUAAACUCCAUGUAUUUCCUAUUACAGAUAAUAAA